rnacentral:rRNA from 1 species
AUGACAGAUCGGGAAGGAGGAGAGCUCCCAGGAAGAGAAGAACGAAGAGGAAACGCACAGAUCACAGACGGGGAUGAACCUACUGAUCACGAAAAAGCUGAAGACCAUGAUCCACAGGAGAGGAGCAUGAUGAGGGCAGUGAUUGAAGAGGAUCUACUGAGAUUAUCACAGGAAGAACUCAUACUGAAUGAAUCAUUUUCUUUCACUGCGCUCCUUCAUUCCGACAUUAUAUACAAGGUACAUUCAGCAGAUGGAUCUAUGAACAUUGCUGAAACUAUGUACGAAAACUCCAGGAGCAAAACAAAUGACAGUAUCAUCACAACAAAUUAUGGCCAUACAAUGGAGGCAGACUUGCAUCUAGAAAUGCCAGUGGCCGAAGAUGGGGCAGGAGAAUCCGAUCCAUGGGACACAAACUUGAACGACAACAUCAAUCUGCAACAGGAGCCUAAAGAAGCUGAUCCCAGUGUAGCACCGACUAACAUGAACUCUAGUACAGGCAGGGACGAAGAAGGAAAAAAAGAACCAGAACACUCACUACAACAAGAGGGAGAAGAUGAAUUCCUGGACGAAGAAGACAUUGAAAGAUUCCUGUAA